rnacentral:tRNA from 1 species
GGGCAUGUAACUCAGUGGAAGAGUGCCAUCCUCACACGGUGGAAGUCACAGGUUCGAACCCUGUCAUGCCCA